rnacentral:rRNA from 1 species
UACAGAGGUCCCAAGCGUUGUUCGGAUUCACUGGGCGUAAAGGGUGCGUAGGCGGUCGGGUAAGUCUGAUGUGAAAUCUCACAGCUUAACUGUGAAACUGCAUUGGAUACUAUCCGGCUAGAGGAAUGGAGGGGAGACUGGAAUACUUGGUGUAGCAGUGAAAUGCGUAGAUAUCAAGUGGAACACCAGUGGCGAAGGCGGGUUGCUGGGCCGACACUGACGCUGAUGCGCGAAAGCCAGGGGAGCGAACGGG